rnacentral:rRNA from 1 species
UGGGGAAUAUUGGACAAUGGGGGAAACCCUGAUCCAGCAAUGCCGCGUGAGUGAAGAAGGCCUUCGGGUUGUAAAGCUCUUUCACCUGCGACGAUGAUGACGGUAGCAGGAGAAGAAGCCCCGGCUAACUUCGUGCCAGCAGCCGCGGUAAUACGAAGGGGGCAAGCGUUGUUCGGAAUUACUGGGCGUAAAGGGCGUGUAGGCGGAUCAUCAAGUCGGGCGUGAAAGCCCCGGGCUCAACCUGGGAGGUGCGUUCGAGACUGAUGAUCUAGAGUGCGGGAGAGGGUCGUGGAAUUCCCAGUGUAGAGGUGAAAUUCGUAGAUAUUGGGAAGAACACCAGAGGCGAAGGCGACGACCUGGCCCGCAACUGACGCUGAGGCGCGAUAGCGUGGGGAGCAAACA